UGAAUACGAGACGCUAAGGCGUCGAAGUAGUGUAUGUCAUACUUCCAAGAAAAGCUUGCACUGUCAUAGAUAAAAAACGCCUGUACCAUAACCGACACAGGUGGGUAGGUAGAGUAUACUAAGGGGCGCGAGAUAACUCUCUCUAAGGAACUCGGCAAAAUAACUCCGUAACUUCGGGAGAAGGAGUGCCUUAUUCGUAAGGUUGCAAUAACAAGAUCCAAGCAACUGUUUAUCAAAAACACAGGUCUCCGCUAAGUCGUAAGACGAUGUAUGGGGGCUGACGCCUGCCCAGUGCCAGAAGGUUAAAGAAGUUGGUUAGCAAUUGCGAAGCUGAUAACUGAAGCCCUGGUGAACGGCGGCCGUAACUAUAACGGUCCUAAGGUAGCGAAAUUCCUUGUCGGGUAAGUUCCGACCCGCACGAAAGGCGUAAUGAUUUGGAUACUGUCUCGGAGAGGGGCUCGGUGAAAUAGACUUGUCUGUGAAGAUGCGGACUACCUGCACCAGGACAGAAAGACCCUAUGAAGCUUUACUGUAACUUGAAAUUGAAAUUGGACUUUAUUCGCGCAGUAUAGGUGGGAGGCGUUGAUUAUAAUCUUGUGGGAUUAUUGGAGCCAUCAGUGAGAUACCACUCUUGUAAUGUUAGAUUUCUAACUUUGAAUCAUUAUCUGGUCAAAGAACAGUUUCAGGCGGGCAGUUUGACUGGGGCGGUCGCCUCCUAAACGGUAACGGAGGCGUACAAAGGUUUCCUCUGAACGGUUAGAAAUCGUAUCUAGAGUGUAAAGGCAUAAGGAAGCUUGACUGUGAGACCUACAAGUCGAGCAGGGACGAAAGUCGGUCUUAGUGAUCUGACGGUACUGAGUGGAAAGGCCGUCACUCAACGGAUAAAAGUUACUCUAAGGAUAACAGGCUGAUCUCCCCCAAGAGUUCACAUCGACGGGGAGGUUUGGCACCUCGAUGUCGGCUCAUCGCAUCCUGGGGCGGUAGUACGUCCCAAGGGUUGGGCUUUCGCCCAUGAAAGCGGUACGCGAGCUGGGUUCAGAACGUCGUGAGACAGUUCGGUCCAUAUCCGGUGUAGGCGUUAGAAUAUUGAGAGGAGCCUUCUUUAGUACGAGAGGACCGAGAAGGACAUACCUCUGGUGUACCAGUUAUCGUGCCAACGGUAAACGCUGGGUAGCUAUGUAUGGAGUGGAUAACCGCUGAAAGCAUCUAAGUGGGAAGCCCAUCUCAAGAUAAGUAUUCUCA
rnacentral:rRNA from 1 species